GGGGCGGAGCGGGCCUCGGGAGCCGUGGAGGUGAUCUGGGAGCGGGGCGGGCCUCGGCAGCCGUGGAGGUGAUCUGGGAGCGGGGCGGGCCUCGGGAGCCGUGGAGGUGAUCUGGGAGCGGGGCGGGCCUCGGCAGCCGUGGAGGUGAUCUGGGAGCGGGGCGGGCCUCGGCAGCCGUGGAGGUGAUCUGGGAGCGGGGCGGGCCUCGGCAGCCAUGGAGGUGAUCUGGGAGCGGGGCGGGCCUCGGCAGCCGUGGAGGUGAUCUGGGAGCGGGGCGGGCCUCGGCAGCGAGGCCGCCGCAGCGCCGAGCCCGGGCGGGCGCGGGGAGGCGGGUCAGGCUCUUCCCGCUCCGCCCACUUACUAAGUACUAUUUAGUACUAAAUACUUUUUUUUAAGCCCCUUUUCGAUUUGGAAAGAAAUUUUUAAAAAGUCACAAGCCAUCCCGUGAGAAGACUGUAGCUAACACAGCUUGAAUUCCUAGAACUCGUGCCUUCCCAUCACCUACCCUCACUUCCUCCCUUGCCUCACGUCCUCCAAUACCGACACAAAACCAGAGCAUCCGCCAGUACCUGACCUCAGACACAUGGUAAGGGCUGUCAUAGUUCACUUAGUUGUUUUCGGGGUUUUUUUUUUGAUACCAGUAAUGAUGUAUAAUAAAGGAACUGUCACUUUUCA